rfam:Oryza meridionalis cultivar OR44 (W2112) chromosome 1, whole genome shotgun sequence.
NNNNNNNNAGACCGUGGAUUCCCGUGCCAACGUUUGACUGUCCGUCUUAUAUGAAAUAUUUUUAUAAUUAGUAUUUUCAUUGUUGUUAGAUGAUAAAACAUGAUUAAUACUUUAUGCGUGACUGAUCUUUUUAUUUUUUUCAUAAUUUUUUUAAAUAAGACGGACGGUCAAAUGUUGGACACGAAAACCAGGGUUUAUCUUUUU